GGAGUCGGGUGCUAUAAUGCAGUCGAGCGGACAGAUGGGAGCUUGCUCCCUGAUGUUAGCGGCGGACGCCUGAGUAACACGUGAGGUUCCUGCCUGUAAGACUGGCAUAACUCCGGGAAACCGGGGCUAAUACCGGAUGGUUGUUUGAACCGCAUGGUUCAAACAUAAAAGGUGGCUUCGGGUACCACUUACAGAUGGACCCGCGGCGCAUUAUCUAGUUGGUGAGGUAAUGGGUCUCCAAGGCAACGAUGCGUAGCCGACCUGAGCGGGUGUUCAACUCUCCAGGGACUGAGCCAUAUUCAACAUCCCAACGGGGGGGAGCAGUAGGGAAUCUUCCGCAAUGGACGAAAGUCUGACGGAGCAACGCCGCGUGAGUGAUGAAGGUUUUCGGAUCGUAAAGCUCUGUUGUUAGGGAAAAACAAGUACCGUUCGAAUAGGGCGGUACCUUGACGGUACCUAACCAGAAAGCCACGGCUAACUACGUGCCAGCAGCCGGGGGAAUACGUAGGGGGCAAGCGUUGUCCGGAAUAAUUGGGCGUAAUAGGCCUCCCCAGGCGGUUUCUUAUGUUCUGAUGUGAAAACCCCCCGGCUCACCCACCGGGGGAGGGUCUAUUGGAAAAUGUGGGAAUUGAGUGCAUGAAGAGGAAAAGAGGGAAUACAACGUGAUCACGGGUGAUAUGCGGUAGAGAAUGUGGAGGAAACACCAGGGGGGAAGGCGACUCUCUGUUUCUCUACCUAUAGAAAUGAAAGAAGAGAAAGCGGGGGGAGGCGAAAAAGGAUUAAAUACCCCUGGGAUCCCACCCCCGUAAACAAAGAGUGCUAAAGUGAUUAGGGGGGGUUUCCCCCCCCUUAGUUGCAGCAGCUCACGCAUUAAGCACUCCCCCUGGGGAGUGCGGUCGCAAGACUGAAAACUCAAAGGAAAUGACGGGGGCCCGCACAAGCGGUGGAGCAUGUGGUUUAAUUCGAAGCAACGCGAAGAACCUUCCCAGGUCUUGACAUUCUCUGACAAUUCUAGAGAUAGGACGUCCCCUUCGGGGGCAGAGUGACAGGUGGUGCAUGGUUGUCGUCAGCUCGUGUCGUGAGAUGUUGGGUUAAGUCCCGCAACGAGCGCAACCCUUGAUCUUAGUUGCCAGCAUUCAGUUGGGCACUCUAAGGUGACUGCCGGUGACAAACCGGAGGAAGGUGGGGAUGACGUCAAAUCAUCAUGCCCCUUAUGACCUGGGCUACACACGUGCUACAAUGGACAGAACAAAGGGCAGCGAAACCGCGAGGUUAAGCCAAUCCCACAAAUCUGUUCUCAGUUCGGAUCGCAGUCUGCAACUCGACUGCGUGAAGCUGGAAUCGCUAGUAAUCGCGGAUCAGCAUGCCGCGGUGAAUACGUUCCCGGGCCUUGUACACACCGCCCGUCACACCACGAGAGUUUGUAACACCCGAAGUCGGUGAGGUAACCUUUAGGAGCCAGCCGGCGAACGGUGAACCAGGU
rnacentral:rRNA from 1 species